rnacentral:tRNA from 2 species
GCCGGGAUGGCGGAACGGUAGACGCAGGAGACUUAAAAUCUCCCACCUCAUGGGUGUGCGGGUUCGAAUCCCGCUCUCGGCA